rnacentral:tRNA from 1 species
GCGCUUGUAGCUCAACUGGAUAGAGCGCCUGACUUCGGAUCAGGAGGUU